AUUGAACGCUGGCGGCAUGCUUUACACAUGCAAGUCGAACGGCAGCGCGGGCUUCGGCCUGGCGGCGAGUGGCGAACGGGUGAGUAAUACAUCGGAACGUGCCCAGUAGUGGGGGAUAGCUCGGCUAAAGCCGGAUUAAUACCGCAUACGACCUGAGGGUGAAAGCGGGGGAUCUUCGGACCUCGCGCUAUUGGAGCGGCCGAUGGCAGAUUAGCUAGUUGGUGGGGUAAAGGCCUACCAAGGCGACGAUCUGUAGCUGGUCUGAGAGGACGACCAGCCACACUGGGACUGAGACACGGCCCAGACUCCUACGGGAGGCAGCAGUGGGGAAUUUUGGACAAUGGGCGAAAGCCUGAUCCAGCAAUGCCGCGUGUGUGAUGAAGGCCUUCGGGUUGUAAAGCACUUUUGGCGGGAACGAAAAGGACUGUGCCAAUACCACGGUUCGAUGACGGUACCCGCAGAAUAAGCCCCGGCUAACUACGUG
rnacentral:rRNA from 1 species